CAUCACAGGAAUAAUAUAUUCAGCUAUAAACACCCAUAACAGGUUAAGAAUAUCAAUACCCACCACGGGUUAUUACAAUGACUGAAAUAAACUCCCAUCACGGGAAAAUUAAUACUAGUAUAUAAUUGCCGUCAGCUCCUAAAAUUCUAAAUUUGUUUUCAAAUUCAGAUUUUAUGAAUGAAGUUUUCUACUUACCACCUGAGAAAUAUACAUACGGAUAUUACUUUCCUUACCAGUCCAGACUUCGCAAUUAAAAUAAAACAUCUAGAUGACGGAGAUACUUCCAACCGGAACUACGUCACCUACAUGCUUUACUCUACCUGUACCCCAGUUUUGUUUUUUUCUAUUUUUUCAGUAACCUUAUUACUACUAUAGAAAAUUACGUGGGGAGGUUGGGUGGGUAAUUAUCAGGUGGUAAGUAGAAAACUUCAUUCAUAAAAUCUGAAUUUGAAAACAAAUUUAGAAUUUCAUUUCAUUCAUUUUCUACUUACCACCUGAGAAAUAUACAUACGGAUAGAUUACAAAGCCUUACCUCUCUGGUGGUAGGGUAAUUUUCUAUGGCUCUGCGUCUCUUCAUCCUGGGUAUAAUCUUUACUUUAUACCACUUGUUCAUUUUUAAAAACAUUCUUCUGUACACUAUACAAUAUUUACAAUGUCUUUAUUUUUUCUUCUUUUCUUUAGUCUUUUUUUUUUUUUUUUUUUUUUUCGAACUGCACAUUACAGUUAAAAAUAUAUCAGUCUUUUUGAUGAUUUUAAAAACAAUCUGUUAUAUACACAUCAGGAUAAAACCUUAACAUCUACAUUUCUCAAAUAAAACUUGAUGAAAGUUGUAUCAGUAGACCAGUCAGCGGACUCUAAAAUACUCUUCAUACUAGCCCCAUUAAAUAAGGCCCAUGAAGGUCCAAUUGCUCUCGUACUGUGAGCUUUAACUUUAAAAUCUGUAUUUUCAUAUGCCAUUUUGAUGGUAUUCACUAACCAUCUAGAAAUUGUUUGUGAUGUAACCGGUUUGAAUGGUUUAACCGUUGACAAGAAAAGUUUUCCUUCAUCUUUCCUUGUUUCUUCUGUACGUUUCAAAUAAAUCGCAAUGGCUCUUUUAGGAUCCAAUUUUUUUAUUGUGUUCAAAGUAAGGCACAAAAAUUUUAGUUCCAUAAUGAUUUGGUCUAUCUUGUUUUGAUAAACCUGGUCUCAAGAAAACAAGUCCUUUCUUCUGAACAUUCACAAACCCCUCUCCUAUCCUCAAUGCUUGUAAGUCUGAGCACCUCCUGUACGUUGUGAUUGCUGUAAGAAAAACCACUUUAUAAGUUAAGCAUUUAAUAUCAGCUUUCAAUAAAGGUUCAAAAGGAGACUUUUGCAACAUGUCCAACACUUUUUGUAAAUCCCAUUCUGGGACUAAAUUUACUUUAGGCGGUCUAGAAUUG
rnacentral:lncRNA from 1 species